CCUACGGGUGGCAGCAGUGAGGAAUAUUGGUCAAUGGCCGAGAGGCUGAACCAGCCAAGUCGCGUGAGGGAAGACGGCCCUACGGGUUGUAAACCUCUUUUGUAGGGGAGUAAAGCGAGUCACGUGUGACUCAUUGUAUGUACUCUAUGAAAAAGGAUCGGCUAACUCCGUGCCAGCAGCCGCGGUAAUACGGGGGAUCCGAGCGUUAUACGGAUUUAUUGGUUUUAAAGGGUGCGAAGGGGGAGGUGAAAGUCAGUGGUAAAAGUACGGGGCUCAACCCAGUACUGCCAUUGAAACUGGAUGCCUUGAGUGCGUGAGAGGUAGGCGGAAUUCGUGGUGUAGCGGUGAAAUGCAUAGAUAUCACGAAGAACUCCGAUUGCGAAGGCAGCAUACCGGCGCGCAACUGACGCUCAUGCACGAAAGUGUGGGUAUCAAACAGGAUUAGAUACCCCUGUAGUC
rnacentral:rRNA from 1 species